rnacentral:rRNA from 1 species
CAGUCGCCGCGGGAAUACGUAGGUGGCAAGCGUUGUCCGGAAUUAUUGGGCGUAAAGCGCGCGCAGGUGGUUUAAUAAGUCUGAUGUGAAAGCCCACGGCUCAACCGUGGAGGGUCAUUGGAAACUGUUAAACUUGAGUGCAGGAGAGAAAAGUGGAAUUCCUAGUGUAGCGGUGAAAUGCGUUGAGAUCGGAAAGAACACCAACGGCGAAAGCACUCUGCUGGGCCGACACUGACACUGAGAGACGAAAGCUAGGGGAGCAAAUGGGAUUAGAUACCCCCGUAGUCCCUGUCUCUUAUAC